GUCAGUAUAGCUUACUGGUUUGAGCAUUGGACUAGGACUCUGGAAAACCAGGGUUCGAAUCCCUGCUCAGCCA